rnacentral:rRNA from 1 species
UGGCGGCAGGCCUAACACAUGCAAGUCGAGCGGUAGAGAGAAGCUUGCUUCUCUUGAGAGCGGCGGACGGGUGAGUAAUACCUAGGAAUCUGCCUGAUAGUGGGGGAUAACGUUCAGAAACGGACGCUAAUACCGCAUACGUCCUACGGGAGAAAGCAGGGGACCUUCGGGCCUUGCGCUAUCAGAUGAGCCUAGGUCGGAUUAGCUAGUUGGUGAGGUAAUGGCUCACCAAGGCUACGAUCCGCAACUGGUCUGAGAGGAUGAUCAGUCACACUGGAACUGAGACACGGUCCAGACUCCUACGGGAGGCAGCAGUGGGGAAUAUUGGACAAUGGGCGAAAGCCUGAUCCAGCCAUGCCGCGUGUGUGAAGAAGGUCUUCGGAUUGUAAAGCACUUUAAGUUGGGAGGAAGGGCAGUUACCUAAUACGUGAUUGUCUUGACGUUACCGACAGAAUAAGCACCGGCUAACUCUGUGCCAGCAGCCGCGGUAAUACAGAGGGUGCAAGCGUUAAUCGGAAUUACUGGGCGUAAAGCGCGCGUAGGUGGUUUGUUAAGUUGAAUGUGAAAUCCCCGGGCUCAACCUGGGAACUGCAUCCAAAACUGGCAAGCUAGAGUAUGGUAGAGGGUAGUGGAAUUUCCUGUGUAGCGGUGAAAUGCGUAGAUAUAGGAAGGAACACCAGUGGCGAAGGCGACUACCUGGACUGAUACUGACACUGAGGUGCGAAAG